rnacentral:rRNA from 1 species
UACGGAGGGGGCUAGCGUUGUUCGGAAUUACUGGGCGUAAAGCGCACGUAGGCGGCUUUGUAAGUUAGAGGUGAAAGCCCGGGGCUCAACUCCGGAAUUGCCUUUAAGACUGCAUCGCUAGAAUUGUGGAGAGGUAAGUGGAAUUCCGAGUGUAGAGGUGAAAUUCGUAGAUAUUCGGAAGAACACCAGUGGCGAAGGCGACCUACUGGACACAUAUUGACGCUUAGGUGCGAAAGCGUGGGGAGCAAACAGG